rnacentral:tRNA from 1 species
GGGAGAUUCGUCCGGCGGCUAGGACACUGGUCUCCAAAUCCAGGUACGAGGGUUCGAGUCCUUCAUCUCCCGCCA